rnacentral:rRNA from 1 species
AAGUAAAAGUCGUAACAAGGUUUCCGUAGGUGAACCUGCGGAAGGAUCAUUACCUAGAGUUGUAGGCUUUGCCUGCUAUCUCUUACCCAUGUCUUUUGAGUACCUUCGUUUCCUCGGCGGGUCCGCCCGCCGAUUGGACAAUUUAAACCAUUUGCAGUUGCAAUCAGCGUCUGAAAAAACUUAAUAGUUACAACUUUCAACAACGGAUCUCUUGGUUCUGGCAUCGAUGAAGAACGCAGCGAAAUGCGAUAAGUAGUGUGAAUUGCAGAAUUCAGUGAAUCAUCGAAUCUUUGAACGCACAUUGCGCCCCUUGGUAUUCCAUGGGGCAUGCCUGUUCGAGCGUCAUUUGUACCUUCAAGCUCUGCUUGGUGUUGGGUGUUUGUCUCGCCUCUGCGCGCAGACUCGCCUCAAAACAAUUGGCAGCCGGCGUAUUGAUUUCGGAGCGCAGUACAUCUCGCGCUUUGCACUCAUAACGACGACGUCCAAAAGUACAUUUUUACACUCUUGACCUCGGAUCAGGUAGGGAUACCCGCUGAACUUAAGCAUAUCAAA